GACGAACGCUGGCGGCGUGCUUAACACAUGCAAGUCGAACGGAAAGGCCCUUCGGAGUCCUCGAGUGGCGAACGGGUGAGUAACACGUGGGUGAUCUGCCCUGCACUUUGGGAUAAGCCUGGGAAACUGGGUCUAAUACCGAAUAGGACCACGCGCUUCAUGGUGUGUGGUGGAAAGCUUUUGCGGUGUGGGAUGGGCCCGCGGCCUAUCAGCUUGUUGGUGGGGUAAUGGCCUACCAAGGCGACGACGGGUAGCCGGCCUGAGAGGGUGACCGGCCACACUGGGACUGAGAUACGGCCCAGACUCCUACGGGAGGCAGCAGUGGGGAAUAUUGCACAAUGGGCGCAAGCCUGAUGCAGCGACGCCGCGUGAGGGAUGACGGCCUUCGGGUUGUAAACCUCUUUCAAUAGGGACGAAGCGCAAGUGACGGUACCUAUAGAAGAAGCACCGGCCAACUACGUG
rnacentral:rRNA from 1 species